UGGAAGUAAAAGUCGUAACAAGGUCUCCGUUGGUGAACCAGCGGAGGGAUCAUUACCGAGUUAUUCAACUCAUCAACCCUGUGAACAUACCUAAACGUUGCUUCGGCGGGAAUAGACGGCCCCGUGAAACGGGCCGCCCCCGCCAGAGGACCCUUAACUCUGUUUCUAUAAUGUUUCUUCUGAGUAAAACAAGCAAAUAAAUUAAAACUUUCAACAACGGAUCUCUUGGCUCUGGCAUCGAUGAAGAACGCAGCGAAAUGCGAUAAGUAAUGUGAAUUGCAGAAUUCAGUGAAUCAUCGAAUCUUUGAACGCACAUUGCGCCCGCCAGUAUUCUGGCGGGCAUGCCUGUUCGAGCGUCAUUACAACCCUCAGGCCCCCGGGCCUGGCGUUGGGGAUCGGCGGAGCCCCCCGUGGGCACACGCCGUCCCCCAAAUACAGUGGCGGUCCCGCCGCAGCUUCCAUCGCGUAGUAGCUAACACCUCGCGACUGGAGAGCGGCGCGGCCACGCCGUAAAACACCCAACUCUUCUGAAG
rnacentral:rRNA from 1 species